rnacentral:rRNA from 1 species
AGUGGCGAACGGGUGAGUAAUGUAUCGGAACGUACCUUUCGGUGGGGGAUAACGUAGCGAAAGUUACGCUAAUACCGCAUAUUCUGUGAGCAGGAAAGCAGGGGAUCGAAAGACCUUGCGCUGAUUGAGCGGCCGAUAUCAAAUUAGCUAGUUGGUGGGGUAAAGGCCUACCAAGGCGACGAUCUGUAGCGGGUCUGAAAGGAUGAUCCGCCACACUGGAACUGAGACACGGUCCAGACUCCUACGGGAGGCAGCAGUGGGGAAUUUUGGACAAUGGGGGCAACCCUGAUCCAGCCAUGCCGCGUGAGUGAAGAAGGCCUUCGGGUUGUAAAGCUCUUUCGGCCGGGAAGAAAUCGCAUAGGCUAAUACCCUGUGUGGAUGACGGUACCGGAAUAAGAAGCACCGGCUAACUACGUGCCAGCAGCCGCGGUAAUACGUAGGGUGCGAGCGUUAAUCGGAAUUACUGGGCGUAAAGCGUGCGCAGGCGGUUUCAUAAGACAGAGGUGAAAUCCCCGGGCUCAACCUGGGAACUGCCUUUUGUGACUGCGAGGCUAGAGUACGGCAGAAGGGGGGGUGGAAUUCCACGUGUAGCAGUGAAAUGCGUAGAGGAUGUGGAGGAACCACCGGAUGGCGAAGGCAGCCCCCCUGGGUCGAUACUGACGCUCAUGCACGAAAGCGUGA